rnacentral:rRNA from 1 species
CCUACGGGAGGCAGCAGUGAGGAAUAUUGGUCAAUGGCCGGAAGGCUGAACCAGCCAUGCCGCGUGAAGGUCAGUGCCCUAUGGGCGUUAAACUUCUUUUGUGCGGGAGCAAUAAUGGUCACGUGUGGCCAGACGAGAGUACCGUACGAAUAAGCAUCGGCUAACUCCGUGCCAGCAGCCGCGGUAAUACGGGGGAUGCAAGUGUUAUCCGGAUUUAUUGGGUUUAAAGGGUGCGUAGGCUGUGAGGUAAGUCAGCGGUGAAAUGCCCCCGCUCAACGGGGUGAAGUGCCAUUGAUACUGCCUGGCUGGAAUGCGGAUGCCGUGGGAGGAAUGUGUGGUGUAGCGGUGAAAUGCAUAGAUAUCACACAGAACACCGAUUGCGAAGGCAUCUCACGAAUCCGCGAUUGACGCUGAUGCACGAAAGCGUGGGUAUCAAACAGGAUUAGAUACCCUUGUAGUC